ensembl:rRNA 5S_rRNA 5S ribosomal RNA
GUCUACAGCCACACUGCCCCGAUCACACCCGAGCUUGUCCUGCUUGGAAGCUAAGCAGGGUUGGGCUUGGUGAGUCCUUGGGUGGGAGGCAGAGAGAGGGAACCCGUCCCGCUGGAGGGU